AACGAACGCUGGCGGCAGGCUUAACACAUGCAAGUCGAACGCCCCGCAAGGGGAGUGGCAGACGGGUGAGUAACGCGUGGGAAUCUACCCAUCCCUACGGAAUAACGCAUGGAAACGUGUGCUAAUACCGUAUACGCCCUACGGGGGAAAGAUUUAUCGGGGAUGGAUGAGCCCGCGUUGGAUUAGCUAGUUGGUGGGGUAAAGGCCUACCAAGGCGACGAUCCAUAGCUGGUCUGAGAGGAUGAUCAGCCACAUUGGGACUGAGACACGGCCCAAACUCCUACGGGAGGCAGCAGUGGGGAAUAUUGGACAAUGGGCGCAAGCCUGAUCCAGCCAUGCCGCGUGAGUGAUGAAGGCCUUAGGGUUGUAAAGCUCUUUCACCGGAGAAGAUAAUGACGGUAUCCGGAGAAGAAGCCCCGGCUAACUUCGUGCCAGCCGCCGCGGUAACAC
rnacentral:rRNA from 1 species